rnacentral:lncRNA from 1 species
AAGAGGGGGCAAGGAAGGAAAACAAAGCUGCAAGCACUGAAGAAUAUUAACAAGAGAAUAAGGUUGCCAGAUUUAACAAAUAAAAAUAUAAAACGCCGGCCAGCUUUUCACUGUGCCCACUGGUCACCCCUUGCUGGGCCUCCAGGGGCCUCAGUAAGGCUGGCCGAGGUACCUGCUGCCCUGCCUGGAACCCACCUCCUUAAGAAUCCUGACUGCCCCACAGGAACCAUGGGCUCCUCAGAGAAAUGGCUGAUUCUAGGACUGGGGCAAGAAAUAUACAAGAUAAAUCUACAUAAAGGAAGUACUAAAAAAAAAUCUCCAAAUCCUACAUUAAAGGGACACAGGAGCCAACUGGAAGAGCUCCCAACGGCCAAAGCCAGAACAACUUGAGAAACAAAAUAAAGUAGGGUCGAGUCAUGACCCAUAAUGACAUAGGUGUCCAUGAGUCAGUGCUGACAGAAAUCAGUGACUGAAUAAACUAAGUGGGAAAGAAGAGACAAAUCACCAUUGCAAAAGGAUUCCAAAUAAUUUAUGCAGAUACCCUGCCCUCAAGGAGGGGACCGUGACUCCCCCACUCCUUAGGUGUGGGCUCUGCACCAUCA